rnacentral:rRNA from 1 species
UAUCUCUGUAGAGUCUGCAUAUCAAUAAGCGGAGGAAAAGAAACUAACAUAGGAUUCCCUCUAGUAACGGCGAGUGAAGCGGGAAGAGCUCAAAUUUGAAAUCUUCAAGGUUCUACCUUGACGAAUUGUAGUUUAAAGAAGUGAUUUCUGUUGAAGUUUUGGUAAAAGUUCUUUGGAAUAGGACAUCAUAGAGGGUGAGAAUCCCGUAUUUGACCAGUUACUUUCCAGCUUGUGUGAUACACUUUCAAAGAGUCGGAUUGUUUGGGAAUGCAGUCCAAAAUGGGUGGUAAAUUUCAUCUAAAGCUAAAUAUUGGCGAGAGACCGAUAGCUGAACAAGUACCGUGAGGGAAAGAUGAAAAGAACUUUGAAAAGAGAGUUAAACAGUACGUGAAAUUGUCAAAGGGAAGCGUUUGACACCAGUCGUUGUUUUCUCGAAAAUCAAUUAAAAAUGGCAGGAUUUUGUGUUGUAUUGACUUUAUCAGCUUUCUGCACUUUUUUCUUGUCUUUUUUAAUGCACUUUUCGUUUAACAAGUCAACAUCAAUUUCUUUUGCUGUAAAAGAGUCAUUGGAAGGUGGCCUUCACUUUCGGAUGAAAGUGUUUAUAGCCUUUGACUUCUGCAAUCGGAGAGAUUGAGGUCUGCAGCGUAGAUCCUUCGGGGUUAGAUACAUUUGUGCUAAGCUAUAGCCUUUUCAUAGACUACUUGUUGACUAUAUUCAGUCAUGUAGGCUUACUCGCUUAUGCUAUUUUACCUACGCUUAGGAUGUUGAGUAGCGACAUACGCAC